AGCUAUACAAUACUGGUAAGGUGAAGAGGCGUUGCGUUGCAGCGACAUUCCGAUAACGAACAAUCUCCUACGCGUAAUAUUGCACACGUCCUGCAGCAACACCCGUUGAUUACAGAGUGAAUAUAACUGCGUAAAUAGAUCGUGCCGAGAGCACGGUCUUCAGAAGCUCCUCGAAACCUCUCAGUGAUUUUUAACUUUCAAAGUUUACCGAGAACCAGUAAGUAAACGCAAAAAUGCCUGGACCCUGUGAAAAGUGCAAAGAUGUCUGCAGUGACUGCAAAUGCGGUACCGAUUGCGAAUGUUGCGACACCGCACAAGAUAAGUGCGAGUGUAAGAGCGAGGGACAGUGCACUUGUACGGAUUGUAAGUGCGAAUGAAAAUACUACCCAUCUCUUCUGAAAACAGCGUCGAAGCUAUGACGUACCAAAAUGGUUCGAAUCGCCGUGGUUCACUCAUCGUUUACGUUCAAUCAAGCCCAAGUUAUUUUAUAAUUUUAACCACCACAGCUGUUAUCAAAUUAAUACAGUUACAGUUUGUACUUCGUCAGAUUUGAUGAUACAUGGCGUCAAUCGCUGAUUUCAUAAUAACUGCAUCAACGCAAUAAAACAAAACCUCUGAAAAUGA
rnacentral:lncRNA from 1 species